rnacentral:rRNA from 1 species
AUUGAACGCUGGCGGCGGGCUUAACACAUGCAAGUCGAGCGGAGAUGAGGUGCUUGCACCUUAUCUUAGCGGCGGACGGGUGAGUAAUGCUUAGGAAUCUGCCUAUUAGUGGGGGACAACAUUCCGAAAGGAAUGCUAAUACCGCAUACGUCCUACGGGAGAAAGCAGGGGAUCUUCGGACCUUGCGCUAAUAGAUGAGCCUAAGUCGGAUUAGCUAGUUGGUGGGGUAAAGGCCUACCAAGGCGACGAUCUGUAGCGGGUCUGAGAGGAUGAUCCGCCACACUGGGACUGAGACACGGCCCAGACUCCUACGGGAGGCAGCAGUGGGGAAUAUUGGACAAUGGGGGGAACCCCGAUCCAGCCAUGCCGCGUGUGUGAAGAAGGCCUUAUGGUUGUAAAGCACUUUAAGCGAGGAGGAGGCUACUGAGACUAAUACUCUUGGAUAGUGGACAUUACUCGCAGAAUAAGCACCGGCUAACUCUGUGCCAGCCGCCGCAGUAA